AGGAUAUAGCUCAGUGGUAGAGUGUGUGCUUAGCAUGCAUGAAGUCCUGGGUUCAAUCCCCAGUACCUA
rnacentral:tRNA from 1 species